rnacentral:rRNA from 1 species
AUAUUUAAGUUGUUGCAGUUAAAAAGCUCGUAGUUGCAUUUCGGGUGGGUUGCAAUGGUCCGGUUCGCUGUGUACUGUUGCGGCCUUCCUUUCUGCCGGGGACGGGCUCUUGGCCUUCAAUGUCUGGGAUCCGGAUUCGGCGAGGUUACUUUGAGUAAAUUAGAGUGUUCAAAGCAAGCUUACGCUCUGAAUACAUUAGCAUGGAAUAACACGAUAGGACUCUGGCCUAUCUUGUUGGUCUGUAGGACUGGAGUAAUGAUUAAGAGGGACAGUCGGGGGCAUUCGUAUUUCAUUGUCA